CUAACAUGUAUGCGAGUAUUAGGGUGAAAAACCCUUUAUUAAUGCAAAAUGAAAGUGACUGAUGGGAACCUCCCUGUGAAAGGGGGGUGCACCGUUGACCGGUCUUUCUUAGGAUGGAUUUGAGUAAGAGCACACAUGAUGGGACCCGAAAGAUGUUGUGAUCUUUGCUUGCACAUGGCGAAGCCAGAGGAAACUCUGGUGGAGGCUCGUAGCGAUUCUGACGUGCAAAUCGAUCGUCUGAUGUGAGUAAAGGGGCGAAAGACUCAUCGAACCAUCUAGUAGCUGGUUCACACCGAAAUUUCCCUCAGGAUAGCUGCAACUUGUAAACAGUUUUAUCGGGUAAAGCGAAUGAUUAGAGGCCUUGGGGGUAGAAACUACCUUAACCUAUUCUCAAACUUUAAUAGGUAAGAAAUGAAUGUUGCUUUAGUGAACAUUCAUAUAGAAUGGUGAGUUGCAAGUGGGCCGUUUUUGGUAAGUCAGAACUGGCGAUUUGGGAUGAACCAAACGCAGAGUU
rnacentral:rRNA from 1 species